UGCUGUGUACAGGACCAAUGUGUGAAAAGGCGUGAGCAAAAAGGGAAGAGAUGGGGAUAACAAAUUAUUAGUCAGCGCUACAACAACGUCAGAGACGAGGAUCCACGGAGGACGUUGUGUCCCAUCCGGGCUGCCGUUGCCGGUGCUGUGCUGCCGAGCCGGGAUGACUAACUCUGCCGAUCAUCCUCACAACACCAGGAACUGAAGCAGCCACUGUGGGGGGACAGGAGAGUGAGAAAAACAAGUCCACAUCCAGCUUGCGCAUCCUGACGACACAUGACACAAAGCCGUAGAAGGGCAGGUGAAGCUCUCCAGAUGAAAACCGAGCCGAGAGCAGCUGAGCCACCUGACCAUCACACUUCAUCCCUGUGACACAGAGGAGAGGAGAGAGGAGGAAGGUGUGAUGCCAAACCAUCUGUGUGCCAACAUACAGCACACCUAUGUGUGUGUGUGUGUGUGUGUGUGUGUGUGUGUGUGUGUGUGUGUGUGUGUGUGUGUGUGUGUGUGUGUGUGUGUGUG